CCUAAUUGGGAAUGACUUUAUCGAGUCAUUGAUUAAAUUCGCUUAGGGACUUAUAGAAUUGAAAAUUUAGAUGGAAUUGUUAUUUUCUGUAUUUAGAAUUCUAAAAAUCUUAAAAAAAUAUUAUCAAUAAAAAUAUUCUCAUAAGCUCUAUUUUGAACAUCAUAUCCUCUCAUAUAUCUAAAUUUGAUUCUUUAAAGCUCCAUAGGGCAUC
rnacentral:lncRNA from 1 species